rnacentral:tRNA from 2 species
CGGGGUGUGGCGCAGUCCGGUAGCGCGCGUGCUUUGGGAGCACGAUGCCGCAGGUUCGAAUCCUGUCACUCCGACCA